rnacentral:snoRNA from 1 species
UCUCAUGAUGAUUUUAUCUUAACAACCUUAUCUACAUUAUCUGAACAGUUAGAUGAAAAGCAUAAUCUGAAAGA